GUGUUGGCUUCAGUAGCACAUAUACUAAAAUUGGAAUGAUAUAGAGAACGCUACCAUGGCCCUGGCACAAAGAUACCAUACAAAUUCAUGAAGUGUUCCAUAUAAAA
ensembl:snRNA U6 U6 spliceosomal RNA